rnacentral:tRNA from 1 species
GGGGGUGUAGCUGGAGUGUAGAGCGUUCGCUUUGCAUGCGAGAAGUCUGGGGUUCGAUUCUCCAUUCCUCAA